rnacentral:rRNA from 1 species
GUGUCAGCAGCCGCGGUAACACGUAGGGCGCAAGCGUUGUCCGGAAUCAUUGGGCGUAAAGAGCGCGUAGGCGGCCCAGUAAGUCCGCUCUGAAAGUCAGGGGCUCAACCCCUGGAUGCGGGUGGAUACUGCUGGGCUAGAGUCCGGAAGAGGUGAGUGGAAUUCCUGGUGUAGCGGUGAAAUGCGCAGAUAUCGGGAGGAACACCGGUGGCGAAGGCGGUUCUCUGGGCCUUACCUGACGCUGAGGAGCGAAAGCGUGGGGAGCGAACAGGAUUAGAAGCCCCGGUAGUCC